UGAGGUGGGAGGAUUACUUGAACCCAGGAACUGGAGGCUACAAUGAGCUGACUGGGCCACUGUACUCCAGCCUGGGUGACAAAGUGAGACCUAAUCUC
rnacentral:miRNA from 1 species